GGGAGAUUAAGUGAUAAAAAUGCUUUAAAAAGAAAUUUAAAAGUCUUGCCAGGGUAAAUUCUCAAAUAGGUCCACACAGAAUUUCUGGGAUUGCCUAGCCUGGUAUGACAAAAUUAGAGCCUGGAAAUAGGCUUAUAUAGCAAGUAGAAAGGAAUUUGAUUAAAGUUAAAUACCUAGAUAAUAAAUAUUAAGGUUUUCAAUCCUUAAAAAUCUGAUUGAAAAAGCAGGGGAUAGGGACCCUGAGCUAUCUCAGACAGUAGAACUUAGGCUUUGAGAAUUACAUAAAGAGAAAGUGGCAUACUACUAUAUUAUGGGUAUUUAUCUCCAUAAAAGGGAGAAUUUAAGUUUACAUAGAUGUAUAAAUAAUUUAGGACUUGAUCUCACGUAGGGCAGGGCAGGGGAGAGCAAAGAAGCACUCUCUCGACAGACUAUCUGUUUAGAUUGCUUUAAUUGCUUUGAAUUGCUUUAAUUAUCAAAAUGUGUGUGGUUACGAGUUUGGUGGUUAUUUUAAAAUUCUUCAGGGAGAGAGUCUAAGCUAUAUCUUUUAUGAUUUCCAGUUACCGGACCAACAUGCUAUUUUGAGAGAGAGGCUGUAUAUUUGUGUUGACAGGAAAAUAGAGAAGGCUUUGGACCCC
rnacentral:lncRNA from 1 species